AAUUUUUUUGCUGUUUUUGGUUUAUGUUUGUUUAUUGUUCCCAGAGAUAUGCACUUUUUCCAAAUCAUACAACAGUGUAUUUUUUGUUUUUGUUUUUUUAAGUAAGUUUGAGGACCCUAGUUUGAGAACUACUACACUAACGUUCCUGCAUCAACAUUCCUUCACCAGUGGUGCCAUUCCUUACUUUCUGCAAAUAAUCUCUCCUAAUUGUAGAUUGGCACAUGUUGGUAGUUUUAAAAACAAUGUGAUUGUUACUGUACAUUCAAACAUGUUGGCGUGUGCGCCAUGAGUGCUGAACAUUUUCAUAUUUGUCUGAUCCUGCAGUCAUGACGGCAAGGCACACACCCACAAUGCCUUUUCUUGAAAACUGCUACGUUCACGUUUGCCAUAUGCGUCCGAUAGCCAAAAUGAAUCUUUUGUUAUUUGCUCUUGUGUGUUUACUAUGGUGCCAGGAUAGAAAUAUUAAUGCAUGCAAAAAAGUGCUGGGAUGUUUUCCGAACCCACUCACUGAGCAGGUGUGGAGGUUGAGCAGAUUUGGUUCCUUUCACCCAAGGUUGGCCCAAUUACUUUAAGUGCUAUUUAAGAUUGCAGUGAACUUCACAAUGAGGAGCAAUUAAGCAGAUAAUGCUGGUCUGCAUCAAAAAAUAAACUAGAAUGACAUAAGUAUUUUCGAGAUGAGUUUCUCGCACUGAAGACUGGCACCGUUCAUUUUGCCUCACAUGCUUCAGUUUGUGAUGUCAUUUUCAAUCGACAGCAAAUGGAAAAAUGCCUGCCCCCCUGAGAUGGAAAAACACUGGUGGAUUUUUGCUGCUUAAUUCAUAUUCCACAAAUGCAAUAUUGAUCGAAAUGCUGUGUUUAGACUACUGGUGGUGCAUGGAAAAUAUUGUAAAGAAAAUGUUUGACUUGACUUUCCCUUUAAUUUCCAGCCAUUUUUAAUGUCUUCAAUAUUUUUUUGUUGUCUUUAUUCAAUAGAGAAUUGAUGGAGCUUUAACCUGACACUUCAGAUUUCAUCAAGCUGUCUCACCUAAUAAAGAAAUGGGCAUUUUUCUA